UACGAAGGGGGCUAGCGUUAUUCGGAAUCACUGGGCGUAAAGCGGACGCAGGCGGUGUGUUAAGUCAGGGGUGAAAUCCCGGAGCUCAACUGCGGAACUGCCUUUGAAACUGGCAGACUAGAGUGUCGGAGGGGGUAGUGGAAUUCCUAGUGUAGCGGUGAAAUGCGUAGAUAUUAGGAGGAACACCGGUGGCGAAGGCGUUUACCGGGACGAGUAAUGACGAUCAUGUCCGAAAGCGUGGGGAGCAAACAGG
rnacentral:rRNA from 1 species